UACAGAGGUCUCAAGCGUUGUUCGGAUUCAUUGGGCGUAAAGAGUGCGUAGGCGGCGCGGUAAGUCGGGUGUGAAAUCUUGGAGCUUAACUCCGAAACUGCAUUCGAUACUGCCGUGCUUGAGGACUGGAGAGGAGACUGGAAUUUACGGUGUAGCGGUGAAAUGCGUAGAUAUCGUAAGGAAGACCAGUGGCGAAGGCGGGUCUCUGGACAGUUCCUGACGCUGAGGCACGAAGGCCAGGGGAGCAAACGGG
rnacentral:rRNA from 1 species